UACAGAGGUCUCAAGCGUUGUUCGGAUUCAUUGGGCGUAAAGGGUGCGUAGGCGGCGCGGUAAGUCGGGUGUGAAUCUCGGAGCUUAACUCCGAAACUGCAUUCGAUACUGCCGUGCUUGAGGACUGGAGAGGAGACUGGAAUUUACGGCGUAGCGGUGAAAUGCGUAGAUAUCGUAAGGAAGACCAGUGGCGAAGGCGGGUCUCUGGACAGUUCCUGACACUGAGGCACGAAGGCCAGGGGAGCAAACGGG
rnacentral:rRNA from 1 species